ensembl:miRNA
GGCUUGUUUUAAGUUGCCUGCGACCUGUUUAAAGACUCAGGCAGCUAAAGCAAGUCUG